UGCCAGCAGCCGCGGUAAUACGGAGGGUGCGAGCGUUAAUCGGAAUUACUGGGCGUAAAGCGCGCGUAGGCGGCUUUGUAAGUCGGAUGUGAAAUCCCCGGGCUUAGCCUGGGAAUUGCAUUCGAUACUGCUAGGCUAGAGUAUGGUAGAGGAAAGCGGAAUUCCGGGUGUAGCGGUGAAAUGCGUAGAUAUCCGGAGGAACAUCAGUGGCGAAGGCGGCUUUCUGGACCAAUACUGACGCUGAGGCGCGAAAGCGUGGGGAGCAAACAGGAUUAGAUA
rnacentral:rRNA from 1 species